CACUCUGAUGAGAGUAAUUUGCGAUUGAUUCUCUUCGAUGGCUCUCUUUCGCCGGAGUAGCUAAAUCGUCUGGAUACAUGAUAUUUCUUUUCUUACAUAUUCUGAAC
rfam:Stachybotrys chartarum IBT 40288 unplaced genomic scaffold scaffold862, whole genome shotgun sequence.